rfam:Gossypium raimondii Chr13_contig_478, whole genome shotgun sequence.
AUUCCAUGAUGAGGGCACUUUCGUAAUAUUUCUUUGUACCUUUCACAUGCCUCAUACAAGGACUCAUCAUCCAUUUGAUGGAAAGUAGUGAUCUCAUUCCUCAACUU